rnacentral:rRNA from 1 species
AGCGAACGCUGGCGGCAGGCCUAACACAUGCAAGUCGAACGAACUCUUCGGAGUUAGUGGCGGACGGGUGAGUAACACGUGGGAACGUGCCUUUUGGUUCGGAAUAACUCAGGGAAACUUGUGCUAAUACCGAAUGUGCCCUUCGGGGGAAAGAUUUAUCGCCAUUAGAGCGGCCCGCGUCUGAUUAGCUAGUUGGUGAGGUAACGGCUCACCAAGGCGACGAUCAGUAGCUGGUCUGAGAGGAUGACCAGCCACACUGGGACUGAGACACGGCCCAGACUCCUGGGGGAGGCAGCAGGGGGGAUUCUUGCGAAAUGGGAGAAACCCGGACGCAGCAAUGCCGGGUGAAGGAGGAAGGUCUUGGUUUUUAAAAUUUUUUUCCCGGGGGACGAUAAGGACGGUCCCGGGAGAAGAAGCCCCGCCUACCUUCG